rnacentral:rRNA from 1 species
GUGCCCCUACGGGAGGCAGCAGUAGGGAAUAUUGCUCAAUGGGGGAAACCCUGAAGCAGCAACGCCGCGUGGAGGAUGAAGGUUUUAGGACUGUAAACUCCCUUUGUGAGAGAAGAUAAUGACGGUAUCUCACGAAUAAGCACCGGCUAACUCCGUGCCAGCAGCCGCGGUAAUACGGAGGGUGCAAGCGUUACUCGGAAUCACUGGGCGUAAAGAGUGCGCAGGCGGGCUUGUAGGUCAGAUGUGAAAUCCUGUAGCUUAACUACAGAACUGCAUUUGAAACUAUGAGUCUAGAGAGUGGGAGG